AUGGCAAGAUAUCGAUUCCUCGUCCAGCAGAUCAGCGGAUACUUCGAAGGGUGCGAAUUCCUUCACGUGCCAAGGGCCGACAACGACCAAGCAGAUGCCCUAGCACGGAUCGGCUCCACCCGACAAGCCAUACCGACUGGCGUCUCCCUCCAGCGCCUCCUCAAGCCGUCCAUCAAGCCGUCUCCAGAGUCAGACUCUAUCUUCGUACCGCCUGCGCCAGAUGCAGCCGGAUCUGACUGGAGGAACCCCGCAGGCGGCACGGGGACUUCAACAACUGGCCCGGGGACUGCCGUAGUCACACCCGGCACGGGGACUUUAGAACCCGGCCCGGGGACUGCAGCAGUCGGCCCGGGGACUGCAACGACACAAGAAGCGGUGGCCGACUCCAAUUCCACGCCACCCAACCCACCCACCCGAGUCAUGGUGGCUACACUAACAGAAGAAGAAGUCACAGCUCCAUCAUGGGCCCAGCCCAUCCUCAAGUUCCUAGUCAGCAGAGAGUUGCCGGCUGAUGAGAUCUCAGCAAGACUAGUGCAACGACGAGCCGCAGCAUAUGCAAUAAUCAACAGAGAGCUUGUGAAGCGCAGCGUCACUGGAGUCUUCCAGCAUUGUGUCGAGCCAGAAAAAGGAGUGGCAAUCCUCAAGGAUAUCCACCAAGGCGAAUGCGGCCACCACGCAACCUCAAGAUCACUUGUGGCCAAGGCUUUCCGCCAUGGUUUCUUUUGGCCGACUGCCUUGGAAGAUGCUAAAGAGAUAGUCAAGAGCUGCAGAGGAUGCCAAGUUUUUAGUUCCAAGCAACACCUGCCGGCUUCUACACUCAAGACCAUUCCCCUCACCUGGCCUUUUGCCGUCCGGGGACUGGACAUGGUGGGCCCUUUCAAGACAGCCCGCGGCGGCUUGACACAUCUACUUGUCGCUGUGGACAAGUUCACAAAGUGGAUCGAAGCAAAGCCGAUCAAGAAGCUGAACGGGCCGACUGCCGUGACAUUCAUCACUGACAUCACUACUCGGUACGGCGUGCCGCACAGCAUCAUCACCGACAACGGCGCGAACUUCGCCAAAGGAGCACUGGCACGUUUCUGCGCGACGCAGGGCAUCCGACCGGACUUAGCGUCCGUUGCCCACCCGCAGUCAAACGGCCAGGUCGAGCGAGCAAAUGGACUCAUCCUCUCCGGCAUCAAGCCCCGACUGGUUGUACCACUGGAGCGAUCAGCCGGCUGCUGGCUCGAUGAGCUGCCGGCUGUCCUCUGGAGUCUGCGCACUACACCCAACAAAUCAACCGGCUACACUCCAUUCUUCCCCGUGUAUGGUGCCGAGGCUGUCAUCCCAACAGACAUCGAGUUCGACUCCCCUCGGAUCACCAUGUACACGGAGGAGGAGGCCAAGGAAGCAAGAGAAGACGGCGUCGACCUACUGGAAGAAGGCCGGCUGUUAGCACUCAGCCGGUCCACCAUCUACCAGCAAGGGCUGCGCCGCUACCACAACCGCAAGGUCAAGCCAAGAUCCUUCCAAGAGGGCGACCUUGUGCUCCGGCUGAUCCAGCGAACAGCAGGCUAG
rnacentral:rRNA from 1 species